UAUCUUUGUCCACUCCUUUAUUUUCAACUCUUUUUAUCAUUUUACUUUAUGUCUUCAAAAUAGCAUAGAGUUUGAAGCUAUAAUUUCUUUCUCUCUUUUCUCUCUUUAUUUUUCAAGAGAUGAAGUAUUACUCUGUCACGCAUACUGGAGUGCAGUGGCAUGAUUAUAACUCAUUACAGCCUUUAACUCCUGAGCUCAACCAAUCCUCCUGUCUCAGCCUCCUGAGUAGCUGGGACUACAGGUGUGUGACCCCAUACCUUGUUGUAGUUUACUUAAUCUAUUAAUGCAAUUGUACUUAUCUUUUCACAGGGUAGUUCAAUACACUGAAUGAUUGUAUAAGUGGGAAAAGUGGCAUCCCCCUUGUCCAGUUUCUAUAAGGUACAAUUAUACCUGAAUAACUUUAGUUUCAUGUCUCAUCUUUUAGUUCUCACCACUAAACUAAUGAAUUAUCUGGUUGUAGAGUUUGAGAGGGGAUCUACACAUGAAAAGUUUGGCCCCUCACAUUCCACCCUCUUUUAUUAAGCCAGCGCCUCCUGGAAAACUGUGCUAUGCUUGCUUCUCCAUGCCCCACAUUUCAUAGACACACAGCCUCACUUGAGGAAACUUGAGGUUGUGUAACUCUUCCUGAGGCUGGAUAGAUAAAUGCAAUUCUGCCGUCAAGAGGUCCAUUUUUGGUGUUAGCAUUAGCACCCAUAUAAGUAAAUUUUAUUUGUUCUGCAUUAUGUUCUAGUUUUCUUGAUAUAGCACUUUAAAAAAUCAUUUUCAUACAAAUUCAUAUGGUUUCUGCAAAUAUAAAUUAACUGUCUCUUGCAACUGUUUUGAUAUGUAAGCAAUGACACCCAAAUUCAGAUUUCAUUGUUGUCCCUUAGGGGUAUCCUAGUAUCUGACUCUAGUUAGGGGGUUAGAAUUAGUUAUACUGGCUAUGAGACUUCUGUUGAAUUGACAUUCUUUUAGGAGCUGUCUCAAGUAAGAGCUUUCUAGUAUCUUCAAACAAAAAAAAGGACUCACCUACUCAGACAGAAAGUCUAUUUUUUAAAGGACGCUUAGAGAGAUUUGUGGGGUUCAAGGUUAUUAUAUUUAUAAAGAUCUACCCAAAUUUACCCCUUUGAUUUCAGAGUCCCAUUACUUGCUAAUCAAUCCCAUUGCUUAUACAUAAAAGAUAUGGUAAAGGUGAAUUCACCAUAUAUAUAUAAAAUUUAGAGACAGAGUCUCAAUAUAUUCUCUAGGCUGGCUUUGAACUCACUUCCAGCAAUCCUCCUCUGGCCUCAGCCUUUUGAGUAGGUGAGACAACAGGUAUGUGCCACCCUGCUUGGCCUUCACCUUAUAUUGUUUUUUUUUGAGACGUUUUUUUAGUAGAGAUGGGGUUUCACCAUGUUGGCCAGGCUGGUCUCGAACUCUUGACUUCAGGUGAUCCACCUGCCUCGGUCUCCCAAAGUGCUAAGAUUACAGGCAUGAGCCACUGCACCAGGCCUGCUAUUUCUAAUUUUUUAACUGCUCAAAAUAAUCCAUAGGCUAAAGUGGCAUAUAUUGGGGUGGCACAUCCUGAUCCCCUUUACAUCCCAGACUAACUCUGAUAGAGAUUCUAGCCCUCCCUGGGCUCAUUAGAAAAGAAGCUCUAGGCACAUUAGAAACAUCUCAGUCAUUUAAAAUUCUCUAGCCUAGGAAGGUUCAAGUUAAGCCUUCCAAACAAUUGGAGUUCACUGCGGCCUACCAUCUGCAACUUUUUCAUGCCAUACACUCAUUUCUGAUGGGCACAUCUAAUUCUGUCUUAAAAUACAAGACAAUACUGAAGACACACAAACCUAUACAUCCAACUUAGACUCUGAUGCUCCAUGGUUGGAUUCCUUCUUAUUCACUGAACAGCUCUUUUGGAAGCCCUAAUUUAUAAAGAAAGAAGUUUUAAUUGACUCAAAGCUCUGCAUGGCUGGGGAGGCCUCAGGAAACUUACAAUCGUGAUGGAAGGCACCUCUUCAGAGGGCCGCAGGAGAAUGUGUGCCAGCAGGGGAAAAUGCCAGGCAAUUAUAAAACUAUCAGAUCUCGUGAGACCCACUCACUAACACGAGAACAGCAUGGGGAAAACCAACCCCAUGAUUCAAUUAUCUCCACCUGGUCUCACCCUUGACACAUGGGGAUUAUUACAAUUCAAGGUGAGAUUUGGGUGGGGACACGGAGCCAAACCAUAUCAGCAUCUCUCCUGAUUUUCCAAAUGCAAAUGUCUUAUAGUCUCUUGCUGAGGAAUAUACAGUUGCCGACUUGCCCUUUCUCUGACCACCCCACACAAACACCAUAUUGGAAUCAGACAGAAUCUGAAUGCCGGAACUAGAAUGCCUCCUCCUUUAGGGAAGUAAGCUCCAUAACUCCUGUCCACAUUCCUAACCUGGAAGAGUGACCCCUUCCCUCCAGAGGUGCUGAUCCCGUUGGCGACCCGGAUGGCUUUUGUUACCAGGGCCAGCCCAAUCCGCCCGAUUCUCGGUCCCUAUACUGCCUCCUUUUCCCAUGCGCAUCGCAAGGGAUCGGUUGAUGGGGCCCUCAGUAUGACUUCGCUAGGAAAAAUAAAGGUCUUCUUAGGCGGGAGGGGACUGAUUUGAGGACGGAGGGUGGGAGUAGUGCCAGCAGCACUUUGUCGUAGUGGCACUGGGUGGGCAGUUAUCAGUUGCAGUCCGCUCGUUUCUCAGUGCCCACGGUUUCUCACUGACAGUGCAGCUCGUUUCUCAGAGCCGGCGGAUGUUCAUGGGCAGCACCAUCGAGCCAGAAGCAGUAUUUGUCCUGGUAAGUCCGAAGUGUACUAGGUUCCAGUCCCGCUGGUUUCUCGAAUCUGCUAGUCCCACACGAGCACCAAUAGGUAAACCCAGCCGGCAGUUUCCGGCUAGCACUUUCGCUAUUUGAAGACAUUAGGAAGUUAUGUGGUGGCUCCGUACCCUCCUUUCUCCAUCCGAGGCCGGGGUCCUAAAGUCGGUGUCACGGUGGCAGCACCCAGCGUUUUGUUGGCUCUUUCGCCAGCAGCGCCGAGCGGGGGGUUUUCUGUCACAGCACUUGUUGCACCGAAUUUCUCGGUCGCAGAACCUCUCUUUUCCGAGGGUCGACAUUUUCUGCGUGACAACACCGUUGGUUCCGCCAAAAUGGAUGUUGUCCUUGGGAACUCCUCCGGCUGGCGUCACUCUUAGGGUCCCAGCACCGCCAUUUCGCCAAGCCGAGUUCUCUUGGUCGCGGCACAUCUUGUUCCUCGGUGCCUCCAUUUUCUCGGUGGCGGCAGCGCUCUGGUAGCCGAUCUGAGGGAUUUGGAAUCGCAGCCAGUUGCGCAGAGUCUGGGGUUCCCGGGCGACGCCGGCGCUGGGCGGGGGAGCCCGCCGCUCCUCCGAGCCAGAGGCAGAGGAGCUGCGCGGACGCCGUCUCUUCACAGCGCCGCGAGCGCCGACGCACGGGUUCCUGCUCGGCCUCCUGAACCCAGUCCCCCGG
rnacentral:lncRNA from 10 species